rnacentral:rRNA from 1 species
UGGUAAUGCCGGAUGCUCCGACUCCUCGCAUGGGGUGUCGGGAAAGAUUUCAUCGGUAUGGGAUGGGGUCGCGUCCUAUCAGGUAGUCGGCGGGGUAACGGCCCACCGAGCCUACGACGGGUAGCCGGCCUGAGAGGGCGACCGGCCACAUUGGGACUGAGAUACGGCCCAGACUCCUACGGGAGGCAGCAGUGGGGAAUAUUGCACAAUGGGCGCAAGCCUGAUGCAGCGACGCCGCGUGCGGGAUGACGGCCUUCGGGUUGUAAACCGCUUUUGAUCGGGAGCAAGCCUUCGGGUGAGUGUACCUUUCGAAUAAGCACCGGCUAACUACGUGCCAGCAGCCGCGGUAAUACGUAGGGUGCAAGCGUUAUCCGGAAUUAUUGGGCGUAAAGGGCUCGUAGGCGGUUCGUCGCGUCCGGUGUGAAAGUCCAUCGCUUAACGGUGGAUCUGCGCCGGGUACGGGCGGGCUGGAGUGCGGUAGGGGAGACUGGAAUUCCCGGUGUAACGGUGGAAUGUGUAGAUAUCGGAAAAGAACACC